CACCCACGAUGAGCACAGAGCGAACUAUUCUUUUGCCUUUUACUAAAGAAUACCGUGUGCUCGUCUCCUUUUUUGGCAUACGCCUAUUUUUGGAGGGCUUUUCCAUUUGUUGGAU
rnacentral:snRNA from 1 species